rnacentral:rRNA from 1 species
UACGUAGGCAGCAAGCGUUGUUCGGAAUUACUGGGCGUAAAGAGUGUGUAGGCGGUGUUCUAAGUCUGGUGUGAAAUCUCCCGGCUCAACUGGGAGGGUGCGCUAGAAACUGGAAUGCUAGAGGAUGGGAGAGGUAAGCGGAAUUCCUGGUGUAGCGGUGAAAUGCGUAGAUAUCAGGAGGAACACCUGUGGUGUAGACAGCUUACUGGACCAUUUCUGACGCUGAGACACGAAAGCGUGGGUAGCAAACGGG